GGGAGGUUCCCGGGGCGGUUCCCGGGGCGGUGCCGGUGCCGCCAUGGCCGCGGUGCCGCUGCGGGGCCGGCGUGCGGCGCUCGGGCCGGGAGCAGCCGGGGAGCCGGAAUGCAAGCGGCUGUGCAGGCUGCUGGACACCAUCCCAGGCCAGGCUGCUGCCCAGCUCAGGGACUGUGCCAUGGACCUGGAUCCCAGGCACAAACUCCUCCCCGACUCUGCUCCCUGGGCUGCAAAGGCAAAGCAGAAUUCUGUGGUUUUGGAAAACCAUGGCAGCAAAGGCAUUUCCCAGCCCUGCCCAAGAUGUGUUGCUGGAGAAUCUGUCCACUUGGCAUCUUGCCUGCCAAAAGGAGAUGGAAAAUCAAAAUAUUGGGAUAAGUGGGGUUUAAAGGUAGCCUGGAUUUGACAAAGCCAAGACUUGAAAUAAAUACAGUUAAUAUAUUUAAAUAUAUAUAGAG
rnacentral:lncRNA from 1 species